AUGGGGGAAAAAAACAGGUUACCUUUCAGGAAUGAAAAGUAGAAUGGUUUUUGACUUCUCACUAGCAACACUGGAUGCUGGAAGACAAUGGAAGAAUAUCUUCAAAGUUCUGAGGGAAAAUAAUUUUGAUCAUUGAGUUCUAUACCCAGCCAAACCACUAGUUUUCUUUCCCUCUGAUGGAGUGGAGGUUGAGGAGAACGUUGGGAUUCAAAACCAAGAAUCGCUGUGGCCUGAGCUAUCUAAGGAUAAAUUGAGUGAUUGGGAUAACUAGUUUUGAUGGGCAAGGAAUGGAGGUGACAGCGAGUAUCUCAACGACACACCCCAAAACAGGAAAAGCCUGCUUUUUAGACUCUCUGUCCUUUGUAUUCCUCUGAACAGCGUUAAAUGUUCUGCUUGCUAGACGCCCGAUUUUGGUACAGUACUUGGGAAAAGGAAAUUAUUGCUACUAUUACACACCAACAUACCCUGUCCCGUUAAUCGAAAUAAAGUGAUAAAGAGGCCAAGAAGCUGUGGUAUAUGCCCGUGGUCCUCAGACCAUUUUAGCUCACUUAUCUGUACCAUGAGCAAUACGGAGAUGUGUGGGACUAGAAGGUCACAGAGGAAUUUUAAAGCUGAAAUACAAAACAUUAUUCCCCAAAACAUCUUCCAAGGCCAGACGGGGAAAACGCUUACGGUUUGUUUUCAUUUGUUCUUUCCUUUCCUU